rnacentral:sRNA from 1 species
GACUGUCAUUUAAGAAUGAGUGAAGUUGAGGUGCCUGUAAGCAACUCAGAAAUUGUUGUGGCCGUGCUUGGGGGAACUAGAGCCCUACACUCAGGUGAUGAGAGACCUCAGAGGUGACCGAUCCAGGGCCUUUCUCCCUGCGGCACCCCAGCUUGUACCUCCAGUGGAACUUGGCUGGGCUUAUCAAGAGCUCCUUUCAUUCACUGCAACUUCAUUUGUUAGAAAGCUUCUCUGUGUAUUUAGUAGGCAUUGUCUCCAACAUGUACCACUGGUCUGGCUUUUGUUAGGCCCAUUAAUAGUGUACAUAUGACAGCCUUUCUAGUACAGGUGCUCCUCGACUUACGGUGGGGUCGCAUCCCAGUAAACACAUCGUUAAACCUGAAGUCGAACCAUCCGAAGUCGGAGACCAUCUGUAUUUGAAAAAAGUCGCUUUGCAUUCCUUGUAAGAGUUCUGGUUUUCAAGUAUUGCCUAAGUGUAAUCUUGAACAUGGGCGGUGCUGUGAGUGCUGGUGAAGACAAUGAUGAGCUGAUAGAUAAUUUGAAAGAAGCACAGUAUAUCCGGACUGAACUGGUAGAGCAGG